rnacentral:rRNA from 1 species
CGUAGGAGACGAGCGUUAUCCGGAUUUACUGGGCGUAAAGCGUGUGCAGGCGGUUCGGCAAGUUGGAUGUGAAAUCUCCGGCUCAACUGGGAGGGGUCGUUCAAACUACCGAACUUGAGGUCAUCAGAGGAAGGUGGAAUUCCGGGUGUAGUGGUGAAAUGCGUAGAUAUCCGGAGGAACACCAGUGGCGAAGGCGGCCUUCUGGGAUGAUCCUGACGCUCAGACACGAAAGCUAGGGGAGCGAACGGGAUUAGAGACCCCGGUAGUCCUAGCUGUAAACGAUGUAGACUUGGCGUCGGAGGGUUCAAAACCUUCGGUGUCGUAGCUAACGCGAUAAGUCUACCGCCUGGGGACUACGGCCGCAAGGUUA